CUGAGAUCAUUUUAAACAUGGGCCGGUGGGCAGCGUGUGUUCUCCUGAGCGAGCAGGACAGGACCCGAGCACAGAGCUCGUGCUCACCACGUCACCAACGGCAGCGUUUUGGGGAGCACAGGGAAAUGCUGGGAGAAUUCCCGGCCUUCCGACUCCGGACUUUUAACUGCUUCCUGUUCCGCCAGGCUUUCAGCACCAGAGGGUUCAUGCCAAUGAUGUGGGAUGAAAGGUAACUUGGACUGUGCUGUUUUUUUCAUAUGGUGCAGAUGAAGGUUUGACGCUGAGAGCUGUUGCAUGCAGUUCACUUUUAGUUGGGAAUAGUUGCCCGUUUUAUUCUGUGUUCAGACGACUGACCCACUGUGUGCCUGUGUUAUAUGAGUGAUUAUACAGAGAGACUGGUGCCUGUGUUACAUGAGUGAUUAAACAGAGAGACUGGUGCCUGUGUUAUAUAAGUGAUUAAACAGGGAGACUGGUGCCUGUGUUAUAUGAGUGGUUAAACAGGGAGACUGGUGCCUGUGUUAUAUGAGUGAUUAAACAGGGAGACUGGUGCCUGUGUUAUAUGAGUGGUUAAACAGGGAGACUGGUGCCUGUGUUAUAUGAGUGGUUAAAUAGAGAGACUGGUGCCUGUGUUAUAUGAGUGGUUAAACGGAGAGAGGCAUAGUUUGGAGAGUGACUGUUGGUGUAUGGUAACUCCACCCAUUUUCAGUCAAACCAGGUAGAGUUACUCACUUGAUGCUGAAUACAUAUGCCUCAUUUUCUUCUGUAAAUUUUUUUAGACAAUCAUAUUGAGAUGUGUUUCAUUAUUAAGGAAACCUGUGGAUGUUGAUGAUGAUGACUGGAUCAGUUACCCCUCUGAGGUUCUGAUGAUUCUGUGUUCCCUGAAAAACUUAAUGUGGGUUAUUGAGUUCCCCUGGAAACAUAUUCUGUUAUUGUGAGAAAAUGGGGUUCAAAAGUACAUUUAAAACUGAAUCUGUACAUUUGCCAACUAUGAGUGGCUCUUGUUAAGAGUUCAAUAUUGUAAAUAGACUCAGAAACAAUUAUAUUAUGAAAAUGAUGAAGAAGUAUUUUUAUGGUCCUGUAAAAUAAAGGGAAAAAAUAUUCCGCUUGAGUAUUUCAUGCUUGUACAACUUAUGCAAACUGUGCUUCAUGUUCUAGUGAAAAUAUGUACACUUCAAAUAUACAAAUAUUAUAUAUUUGUAUAAUGUAUACUAAAAUGUACCAUGACAAUAAAAUUAUAUCCCAGGGGAA